rnacentral:rRNA from 1 species
CAGUUUUACUGACGCUCAUGCUCGAAAGUGCGGGUAUCGAACAGGAUUAGAUACCCUGGUAGUCCGCACGGUAAACGAUGGAUGCCCGCUGUUUGCUUUUGAAGUAAGCGGCCAAGCGAAAGCAUUAAGCAUCCCACCUGGGGAGUACGCCGGCAACGGUGAAACUCAAAGGAAUUGACGGGGGCCCGCACAAGCGGAGGAACAUGUGGUUUAAUUCGAUGAUACGCGAGGAACCUUACCCGGGCUUGAACUGCACAGGAAUGCGGGAGAGAUCCCAAAGCCCUUCGGGGCCUGUGUGGAGGUGCUGCAUGGUUGUCGUCAGCUCGUGCCGUGAGGUGUCGGCUUAAGUGCCAUAACGAGCGCAACCCUUCUCUUCAGUUGCCAUCACUUCGGGUGGGCACUCUGGAGACACUGCCACCGUAAGGUGUGAGGAAGGUGGGGAUGACGUCAAAUCAGCACGGCCCUUACGUCCGGGGCUACACACGUGUUACAAUGGCGCGUACAGAGGGCUGGCAUACGGUAACGUGUGUCUAAUCCUUAAAACGCGUCUCAGUUCGGACUGGGGUCUGCAACCCGACCCCACGAAGCUGGAUUCGCUAG